UACGGAGGGUGCAAGCGUUAUCCGGAUUUACUGGGUUUAAAGGGUGCGUAGGUGGGUCUGUAAGUCAGUGGUGAAAUCUCCGAGCUUAACUCGGAAACUGCCAUUGAUACUAUUUGUCUUGAAUGUCGUGGAGGUUAGCGGAAUAUGUCAUGUAGCGGUGAAAUGCUUAGAGAUGACAUAGAACACCUAUUGCGAAGGCAGCUAACUACGCGAAUAUUGACGCUGAGGCACGAAAGCGUGGGGAUCAAACAGG
rnacentral:rRNA from 1 species